rnacentral:rRNA from 1 species
UGGGGAAUAUUGCACAAUGGGCGCAAGCCUGAUGCAGCCAUGCCGCGUGUGUGAAGAAGGCCUUCGGGUUGUAAAGCACUUUCAGCGAGGAGGAAGGUGGUGGACUUAAUACGUUCAUCAAUUGACGUUACUCGCAGAAGAAGCACCGGCUAACUCCGUGCCAGCAGCCGCGGUAAUACGGAGGGUGCAAGCGUUAAUCGGAAUUACUGGGCGUAAAGCGCACGCAGGCGGUUUGUUAAGUCAGAUGUGAAAUCCCCCGGGCUCAACCUGGGAACUGCAUUUGAAACUGGCAAGCUAGAGUCUCGUAGAGGGGGGUAGAAUUCCAGGUGUAGCGGUGAAAUGCGGUAGAGAUCUGGAGGAAUACCGGUGGCGAAGGCGGCCCCCCUGGACGAAGACUGACGCUCAGGUGCGAAAGCGUGGGGAGCAAAACAGGAUUAGAUACCCUGGUAGGUCCACGCUGUAAACGAUGUCGAUUUGGAGGUUGUGCCCUUGAGGCGUGGCUCCCGGAGCUAACGCGUUAAAUCGACCGCCUGGGGAGUACGGCC